rnacentral:pre_miRNA from 1 species
UUGUUCCCUGGAGUUCCCUUCAGGCACUUCAUUAGGGCCCAUUAGUGAUUUGGGCUGUAGUGAAGUGUUUGGGGGAACUCUUGGUGUCAC